rnacentral:rRNA from 1 species
AUUGAACGCUGGCGGCAGGCCUAAUACAUGCAAGUCGAACGAGUGGCGGACGGGUGAGUAAUGUCUGGGAAACUGCCUGAUGGAGGGGGAUAACUACUGGAAACGGUAGCUAAUACCGCAUACCAUCAGAUGUGCCCAGGUGGGAUUAGCUUGUUGGUGGGGUAACGGCUCACCAAGGCGACGCUCCCUAGCUGGUCUGAGAGGGUGACCGGCCACACUGGAACUGAGACACGGUCCAGACUCCUACGGGAGGCAGCAGUGGGGAAUAUUCCACAAUGGGCGCAAGCCUGAGCGAGCCAUGCCGCGUGUAUGAAGAAGGCCUGCGGAUUGUAAAGUACUUUCGGCGGAGAGGCGUUACCUGCAGAGGAAGCACCGGCUAACUCCGUGCCAGCAGCCGCGGUAAUAC